rnacentral:misc_RNA from 1 species
AAGUCGUAACAAGGUUUCCGUAGGUGAACCUGCGGAAGGAUCAUUAACACGUAUCCAACGUUAAACAACUCUGUGAACCUUCACCCCUGCUCUCCUUGUAUUUCGGUACUUGGAUUUGAUGCGGUCGAAGCAAUUAGACUCGCCUCUGUAGUCAGUGGGUGAAAGUGCCACUGGUUACUUAAGCGGAGUACUGCACCCGGACUAACCGGGGUGGGAUCAUCGAGUGUCCUCACGGCCGAUGAACAAGUCUCUGAGCGCAAGCUCCAAUAUUAACCCCGUCUUUAAUCUUUAGGGAGCUGGUCGCUUCGGCGCCUCCCCUGUCGUGAAAGCUGAACAACUGUUAACAAUGGAUAUCUUGGUUCUC